CCUACGGGAGGCAGCAGUGAGGAAUAUUGGUCAAUGGGCGCGAGCCUGAACCAGCCAAGUCGCGUGAGGGAUGACGGAUCUAUGGUUUGUAAACCUCUUUUAUAAGGGAAUAAAGCGAGGGACGCGUCCUGCUUUGCAUGUACUUUAUGAAUAAGGAUCGGCUAACUCCGUGCCAGCAGCCGCGGUAAUACGGAGGAUCCGAGCGUUAUCCGGAUUUAUUGGGUUUAAAGGGUGCGUAGGUGGCUUUUUAAGUCAGCUGUGAAAGUUUGUGGCUCAACCGUAGAAUUGCCAUUGAGACUGGGGGGCUUGAGUAUAGUUGAGGCAGGCGGAAUUCGUGGUGUAGCGGUGAAAUGCAUAGAUAUCACGAAGAACCCCGAUUGCGAAGGCAGCCUGCCAAGCCAUGACUGACACUGAUGCACGAAAGCGUGGGGAUCGAACAGGAUUAGAUACCCGAGUAGUC
rnacentral:rRNA from 1 species